CUGGCCCAGGCUGGGUAAGCUAAUGAUCCAACCAGCAGACCAAAUUCGGUGAUGAAUCCUGGCCUUGUGUCACCAAAGGCAUACUGCACAUAUGCUAAGAAGAAGUUCCUUUCAUCUGAGCAUCUGCAAAAUGUUUUACAAAGAUAGUCUCACCUAUGAGGUUCAGCUUGAAGCUAUCAAUGUCUGAAAGUUUUCUGAAGUGGCUCCCCCUUCACUUUCUGCUGUGUUUGAAGAAGGCAGAGGACCUACGUCCAUAAAGUGUCAAGAUUUCUGUUGCUUGAAAGCAAUGAUGGUUGAUGUUUCAAAAACCAGUCUGGGCCAAGUAAAGUGCUGCAUAUAACAUAUGGAAUCUGAAGAACUUCACUGAGCUGAAAUUCAGGGGAAGAGAUGCUUUAAAACUAGAUGAGAUAUGACAAGAUUUAUAAAACAGAACCUGCCAUACUGAGUCAUGAUAGCAAUGAAACAUUGCUCACAGUAAGGCUUCCAGACCCACAUAAUUUUUCUCUUUGUCUCUGCCUUCCUUUAGGUCUUCUCUAGAGAAAACUGGCCAGCCCCUUCCUGUCCUCACAAAUGUACUCUUCUCACAGAUGCACACAGAAAAAGUCAGUGGUAGAUUAAGAUUAAACAGACCAGCAAUCUUGUCUGUGAGCUCCAAAGUAGCCUUUUACUCCCAGGCUAGUUUUUA